AUUGAACGCUGGCGGCAGGCCUAACACAUGCAAGUCGAACGAGUGGCGGACGGGUGAGUAAUGUCUGGGAAACUGCCCGAUAGAGGGGGAUAACUACUGGAAACGGUGGCUAAUACCGCAUACCAUCGGAUGUACCCAGAUGGGAUUAGCUAGUAGGUGGGGUAAAGGCGCACCUAGGCGAAGAUCCCUAGCUGGUCUGAGAGGAUGAACAGCCACACUGGGACUGAGACACGGCCCAGACUCCUACGGGAGGCAGCAGUGGGGAAUAUUGCACAAGGGGCGCAAGCCGGAUGCAGCCAUGCCGCGUGUAUGAAUAAGGCCUUAGGGUUGUAAAGUACUUUCAGCGGGGAGGCGUUACCCGCAGAAGAAGCACCGGCUAACUCCGUGCCAGCAGCCGCGGUAAUAC
rnacentral:rRNA from 1 species